rnacentral:misc_RNA from 1 species
UAUAUUUUUAGAUUGCAUAAAAAUAUUGCUCUCUUACAAAAAUAUGGAUUCUCUUGCGGUAAGAGUAUUGUCCCGCGUAGGUGGCUAGGAUUCCUCGAAAUUAGUGCUUUAUCGCUCCUCAUUGGAAAUCGUCUACAUCCUAGUUAACAAGGACUCAACAAAAGGGAAAGAAACACUGAGUCCAGACCAGGGAGACAGUCAUCAGAGGUAGAGAGACCGACAGGGCAGCAGACUAGGCUGCA